GGUGUCACUGGCAGAGGGAGCAGCGGCAAAGUUCACUUGACACUCUUCAUCCCCGGCCGCUGCUUCCAGCGCUGAAGGCCUCACCAGGCAUUAAUCAUGCGGAAUUCACUUCCACAAGGGAGUUUCUGAUUUCUCCUUGCCACGUGGAAUGUGAGGACACAAGAACCGCGCUGCAGGGGAUAUCUGGCACAGGACCAACAGCGCUCUCCUAAUGAGAGCAUUGGGGUGUCUUCUCUGCUCCUGCACCAACCUGCCCCGUGCACCGCACCUCGCUCGGACCUUUCUCUGAGGGCAGGCAGAGAGCCGGGCACUGCCCCUUUGGUCUACCAGGAGCGUCAGCUUCUUGGAGGAGACGUUUUUCGGGACGCGGGGCGCUCCGCGGGCGCUUGGAGCGCCG